GACGAACGCUGGCGGCGUGCUUAACACAUGCAAGUCGAACGGAAAGGCCCUGCUUUUGUGGGGUGCUCGUGUGGCGAACGGGUGUGUAACACGUGUGUAACCUGCCCUUUACUUUGGGAUAACUUCAGGAAACUGGGGCUAAUACCGGAUAGGAGCUCCUGCUGCAUGGUGGUGGUUGGAAAGUUUCGGCGGUUGGGGAUGGUCUCGCGGCUUAUCAGCUUGUUGGUGGGGUAGUGGCUUACCAAGGCUUUGACGGGUAGCCGGCCUGAGAGGGUGACCGGCCACAUUGGGACUGAGAUACGGCCCAGACUCCUACGGGAGGCAGCAGUGGGGAAUAUUGCACAAUGGGCGGAAGCCUGAUGCAGCAACGCCGCGUGCGGGAUGACGGCCUUCGGGUUGUAAACCGCUGUCGGCUGUGACGAAGAGUGAGUGACGGUAAUGGGUAAAGAAGCACCGGCUAACUACGUG
rnacentral:rRNA from 1 species